UGUAGGAGCCUGAAGAAUAAUCCCAGCCGUACCAACCAGUACGGCCAGUGUAAAGAUCCACAGAAACAGUCUGUCAAGAACCAUCGCCACGUACUUCCAAUCUUCUUUCACCUAAAAAUCCAUCCGCAUACAAAGCAACGUGUGAGUGGCGGCAUUUACGUGGUAGAUGUCUAUGGGCUCCGAUAACCACUUAACACCAGGCGUUCGAGUGAGCGGUCGAGGAGGGGGUGCGGCAGGUGGGGGCCAGGCGCCCGGCGCACAGCAGUCGUCGUCCGCUGCCGCCAGACGGUACGGAUACAAGGGUCUGGCUGUCCCACCGCAGCGUACCACAACACCGCAUGCAGUGUAACGAGAUCUAAAAACAAAACUAGUUCAAUUAGUUUAGCCCAUGAUACAAAGUGAUUGGUUAAGUGGUAUUAACGUGUUGUUAUUACAUUGAAACGGUAGACAGCGGCUUGGCUCUGCCCCUGGCAUUGCUAAGGUCCAUGGGCGACGGUAACCACUUACCAUCAGGUGGGCCGUAUACUCGUCUGCCUACACGGGCAAUAAAAAAAACAAAAAAACAAAACAAACUAGAUCUUAUUGUUCACAUAUAUUUAUAGCAAAUAGCGUUAGACAUCCUAAAAAAAGAUUUCAAUUAAAUCUUUAGACAAAUAAUAUUAGUUUGAUAUUAAAGACAAAUUCAGUCUUA